rnacentral:rRNA from 1 species
AUUGAACGCUGUCGGCAGGCCUUACACAUGCAAGUCGGGCGAGAGGCGUACGGGUGAGUAAUUUAUGGGGAUCUGCCUGAUAGAGGGGUAUAACUACUGGAAACGGUGGCUAAUACCGCAUACCAUCAUAUGAACCCAUAUGGGAUUAGCUGGUGGGUGAGGGAACGGCUCACCUAGGCGACGAUCCCUAGCUGGUCUGAGAGGAUGAUCAGCCACACUGGGACUGAGAAACGGCACAGACUCCUACGGGAGGAAGCAGUGGGGAAUAUUGCACAAUGGGCGCAAGCCUGAUGCAGCCAUGCCGCGUGUAUGAAGAAGGCCUUCGGGUUGUAAAGUACUUUCAGUAGGGAGGCGGUACCGACAGAAGAAGCACCGGCUAACUACGUGCCAGCAGCCGCGGUAAUUC